UACGUAGGUGGCAAGCGUUGUCCGGAUUUAUUGGGUUUAAAGGGUGCGUAGGCGGCUUUGUAAGUCAGUGGUGAAAUAUGGCAGCUCAACUGUCGGGGUGCCAUUGAUACUGCGGAGCUUGAGUACAGAUGAGGUAGGCGGAAUUGACGGUGUAGCGGUGAAAUGCUUAGAUAUCGUCAAGAACACCGAUAGCGAAGGCAGCUUACUAGGCUGUAACUGACGCUGAGGCACGAAAGUGUGGGGAUCAAACAGG
rnacentral:rRNA from 1 species